AAACUUUACUUUAGUUUAACUGGGGCAGUUAAUUAAUAAAAAUUUUAAUAAAGAUUAAGUACUAAAUAGANNNCCCAACANUAGUUGAUUACANUGAACAAGUUACUGUAGGGAUAACAGCGUAAUAUAUAUCUAAAGUUCUUAUUUUGAUAUAAGUUUGCGACCUCGAUGUUGAAUUNAUAUUACUUUCAAGCGCAAGAGCCUGAAAAGUGGGUCUGUUCGACCCCUAAAUAUAUACAUGAUUUGAGUUCAAAUCGGUGUAAACCAGAUUGGUUUCUAUCUAUUNUUAUUUGUGUCUUAGUACGAAAGGACCUGAAACAAUAUUAUAUAAUNAUUUAUAUGGCAGAAAAAUGCUUUAGAUUUAGGAUCUAAUUAUAAUAGAUUAUUAUACUCUAUUUAACUUGCCUAAUCUCUGUUAUUAGAAUCCUUAUCGCAGUAGCUUUUUAUACCCUCCUAGAGCGAAAAAUUCUAAGCUACAUCCAA
rnacentral:rRNA from 1 species